rnacentral:rRNA from 1 species
UACAGAGGGGGCAAGCGUUGUUCGGAAUUACUGGGCGUAAAGGGCGCGUAGGCGGCCUUCUAAGUCACACGUGAAAUCCCUCGGCUUAACCGGGGAACUGCGUCUGAUACUGGAUGGCUUGAGUUUGGGAGAGGGACGCGGAAUUCCAGGUGUAGCGGUGAAAUGCGUAGAUAUCUGGAGGAACACCGGUGGCGAAGGCGGCGUCCUGGACCAACACUGACGCUGAGGAGCGAAAGCCAGGGGAGCAAACGGG